CAAAGGGAGAUAAUUGGAGCUUUUUCAAUGAUAUAAACAUUUUAAAAGUCAUCUGGGGCCAAACCGAAUUAAUUUUUUUGGUUAAUUUUUGUAUCAUAUCAUAAAGUAAUAGCUAAUAGUGUAAUAAAUAAAAUUUGUUAUGAAAAAACAAAUGUUUUAUUUUUUGCUGAAAGUUUUGUACCCUCGAGCCUCCUUAAGCGGAAUUACAACUAGAUAGGUUUUGGAAAUGUGAAGAUGAUAUUUUAAAUGGUGCAUUAUUUUCUGAAAUCACAAUUAAUUACCUCUCAAUUUUGUUUAUUAAUCCCACUAGGUACAUUUAUGUUUUAUGGAACAGAAUUUACUAAAAAAAAAAUACUAUAUUGAUAAAUUCAUGAAUUUAAACUGUGAAAAGGAUUUCCAUUAUUUAGCAAUUGUUAUAUUUUUCUGUUUGUUAAAUAUGUUUCUUUAUAUUUUAUAAGGUAUAUUGU
rnacentral:lncRNA from 1 species